GGAUCAUCUUCAUCCGCACUUGGCGGACGAUGUAUUUCCCUUUCUCGAUCGGCUGCUUCGCCGUCACCAGUUCCAGCACCACAACUCCGAAACUGUAGACGUCGCUCUUCUCCGUCAGCUGCUGUGACAUGUAGUAUUCUGGAUCCAGGUAUCCCUGCAUUCAAUUGAUUACUUUGUGAGCUGAACUAUUCAUCAAUUUGACUAGAAUGUGAGAUAGUGAUAUGGACUGUCUUCGAAACGUAAUUUAAAUUUGGUUGUUGCAAGCAAAAUCUAAGUCUCAUCAUGAGAUUGAGGUAUUGCUCACCAAGGUGCCUUUAACUUGAGUAGAAACAUGGCCUUUUGUGCUAUCAGAGACAAGCUUGGACAAGCCAAAGUCAGCAACCUUGGCACUCAAGUUUUCAUCCAAGAGGAUAUUGGUGGACUUGAUGUCUCUGUGGAUGAUCGGAGGGUUUGCAAGCUCGUGAAGGUACGCAAGUCCUCUAGCUGAUCCAAGGGCAAUCCGGAGCCUCCUUCUCCAGUCAAGAUGAAUACCUGAUUUACCUGUUAAAAGAAAGGAAAAUGAACACUUCAUUUGCAGGGUUGAAUGUAAGUUGAGGAAGGACAACGGAUUGUUGAGCAGCUCCAGUGCCUGACCUGUCAAACUUUCCUUGAGACUUCCAUUGGGCAUGAACUCGUACACUAGCAUCUGUUCUCCUUGUUCGAAACAGAAUCCAAUGAGGGCUAAGAGAUUUUUGUGGUGUACUCUUGACAGCAACUCGAUCUCAGUUUUGAACUCCUGCCCGCCUUGCAGGGAUCCUUGUCGUGCUCGUUUGAUUGCCACAAGCUGUCCAUCAGAAAGCAUUCCUCUGUACACCUGCGGAUAACCAGACCAGGA
rnacentral:lncRNA from 1 species